AGCAUUUCCCCAGAUUCUUGGCCCUGAUCUUGGGAUAUAUGGAAAGGAAGUCUCUACAGGCGUUUCCUUCCCGCAGGAGGUGCUAACGAAGGUUCUGAGGAUCCGUCCAGGCUCUGAAACUGUCAUAACAAGGGUCCUGUCCAGCUGGGCUCACCCAUCUGUGCCUGAGAUACGCCAGAGCAUUGUCUCAGCUUUCCCAGGAUGAGAAGACUGAAGCAAGAAGCAUCUCACAGCUAGUUUGUGCAGAGCUGUUGUCUGCCGAAAAUCCUGCCUCCUUCCUCUUCCCUCUGCUCUUGAGUGGUUCUCCUCCUUGGCCCCUAAAAUUGUAGAAUUUUUUUCUGACUGGUUGGGUGAACUUCCAGUUGUUCAGAUAGCCUUCUGGUGAAAUGGACUGAAAACAAAGAGAAGAUAUACUUCCUAAAUUUUCAGAGCACUGUGUCUUGAGGGACAAGUAAAAUUGCCACAGGCUUAUCCAUUUUACUUUUUAUUGUAUAUAGAGCUAGAGAAA
rnacentral:lncRNA from 1 species